UGGGGAAUAUUGCACAAUGGACGGAAGUCUGAUGCAGCAACGCCGCGUGCGGGAUGACGGCCUUCGGGUUGUAAACCGCUUUUUCUCAUGACGAAGUUUUUUGACGGUAGUGGGGGAAGAAGCACCGGCUAACUACGUGCCAGCAGCCGCGGUGAUACGUAGGGUGCGAGCGUUGUCCGGAAUUAUUGGGCGUAAAGAGCUUGUAGGCGGUUUGUCGCGUUGAUAGUGCAAACUCAGUGCUUAACGCUGAGCCUGCUGUUGAUACGGGCAGACUAGAAGAAGGUAAGGGGGGAUGGAAUUCCCGGUGGGGCGGUUGAAUGCGCAGAUUUCGGGAGGAACACCGGUGGCGAAGGCGGUUCUCUGGGCCUUUCCUGACGCUGAGAAGCGAAAGCGUGGGGAGCGAACAGG
rnacentral:rRNA from 1 species